rnacentral:rRNA from 1 species
CAUAGCGACUAUCGUGGCAUAUCAAUAAGCGGAGGAAAAGAAACUAACAAGGAUUCCCUUAGUAACGGCGAGUGAAGCGGGAAGAGCUCAAAUUUGAAAUCUUCAAGGGUUCUACCUUGACGAAUUGUAGUUUAAAGAAGUGUUUUCUGUUAGAGAGUUUGGUAAAAGUUCUUUGGAAUAGGACAUCAUAGAGGGUGAGAAUCCCGUAUUUGACAUCACUUUCUACUAGCUGUGUGCGAUACACUUUCAAAGAGUCGGAUUGUUUGGGAAUGCAGUCCAAAAUGGGUGGUAAAUUUCAUCUAAAGCUAAAUAUUGGCGAGAGACCGAUAGCGAACAAGUACCGUGAGGGAAAGAUGAAAAGAACUUUGAAAAGAGAGUUAAACAGUACGUGAAAUUGUCAAAAGGGAAGCGUUUGACACCAGUGUUGUUUAGUUGAAAAUCAAUUCAAUAUUUUUCGAUUUUGAAGUAGUAUUGACCUUCAUCAGCUUGCUGCUUUCUUUUCGGAAAUUAUUUAAUGCACUUUUCAGUUAACAAGUCAACAUCAAUUUCUUUUGUUGUAAAAGGGUAAGAGGAAGGUGGCUUACGCUUCGGCGUAAGUGUUUAUAGCCUUUUACCUCUGCAAUCGGAGAGAUUGAGGACAGCAGCGUAGACUCUUCGGGGUUAGAUACACUUGUGCUAAGCUAUAGCCUUGUAUAGACAACUUGUUGACUAUGCUCAGUCAUGUAGCUUACUCGCUUAGUGCUAUUUUACCUACGCUUAGGAUGUUGACGCGCGUGUGUGCGUG